AUCUUCAUAGUUGAAUACAACAAUAUCUUUUCGUGAUAUAAGUUUAGGUUUAAAUCCUAAUAAAGAUU
rnacentral:tRNA from 1 species